rnacentral:rRNA from 1 species
UACGGAGGGUGCGAGCGUUGUCCGGAAUCACUGGGCGUAAAGGGCGCGUAGGCGGCGCGGGGAGUCAACGGUGAAAGCUCGGCGCUCAACGCCGAGUCGGCCGUCGAUACUCCCGUGCUCGAGCACUGUAGAGGCAGGUGGAAUUCCGGGUGUAGCGGUGGAAUGCGUAGAGAUCCGGAAGAACACCGGUGGCGAAGGCGGCCUGCUGGGACAGUGCUGACGCUGAGGCGCGACAGCGUGGGGAGCAAACAGG